UCCGGAUUGUAGUUCAUUCCAAAUAUUGUCAAGUUGACAACCAGGAAUAGCCACUACAGCUACUUUUUGCUGUAUAUUGCUUUUAUUACAUUUAGUUAUGGGCCUUGAACUCCUGAUCUUUCUAAGACCAUUAGACUGAGCAUGGGUUCCCCAAUAGAGGAGUUAGAGAAAGGACUGAAGGAGUGGAAGGGGUUUAUAACCCCAUAGGAAGAACAACAAUAUCAACCAAUUAGACCCCCCAGAACUCUCAGGGAAUAAGCCAUCAGCAAAUGAGUACACAUGGCUCCAGCGGCAUGUGUAGCAGAGGCUCGUCUUGUCAUGCGUCAAUGAGAGGAGAGGUCCUUAGUCCUAUGAAGGCUCAAUAGAUGCCCUAGUAUAGGGGAAUUGAGGGCAGGGAGGUUGGAGUAGGUGAGUGUACUGAUGGAGGAAUACUCUCAUUGAAGCAGGAAGGGAGGUUGUGACAGGAUGUUUCUAGGAGGGAGAGAAACAAGAAAAGGAUAACAUUUGAAAUAUAAAUAAAGAAAAUAUCCAAUUACAAAUAAAUAAAUAAAUAGC
rnacentral:lncRNA from 1 species